rnacentral:rRNA from 1 species
UACAGAGGUCUCAAGCGUUGUUCGGAUUCAUUGGGCGUAAAGGGUGCGUAGGCGGCGCGGUAAGUCGGGUGUGAAAUCUCGAGGCUUAACUUCGAAACUGCAUUCGAUACUGCCGUGCUUGAGGACUGGAGAGGAGACUGGAAUUUACGGUGUAGCGGUGAAAUGCGUAGAUAUGUAAGGAAGACCAGUGGCGAAGGCGGGUCUCU